CUGAGAGGUUGAACGGCCACAUUGGGACUGAGACACGGCCCAGACUCCUACGGGAGGCAGCAGUGGGGGAUAUUGCGCAAUGGGGGCAACCCUGACGCAGCAACGCCGCGUGAAGGAUGAAGGUUUUCGGAUUGUAAACUUCUUUUAUUAAGGACGAAAAAUGACGGUACUUAAUGAAUAAGCUCCGGCUAACUACGUGCCAGCAGC
rnacentral:rRNA from 1 species